rnacentral:rRNA from 1 species
AUAGCGUAUAUUAAAGUUGUUGCAGUUAAAAAGCUCGUAGUUGAACCUUGGGCCUGGCUGACCGGUCUGCCUCACCGUAUGCACUGGUUUGGUCGGGCCUUUCCUUCUGGGUAGCCACAUGCCCUUUAUUGGGUGUGUUGGGGAACCAGGACUUUUACUUUGAAAAAAUUAGAGUGUUCAAAGCAGGCAUUUGCUCGAAUACAUUAGCAUGGAAUAAUAGAAUAGGACGUGCGGUUCUUUUUUGUUGGUUUCUAGGACCGCCGUAAUGAUUAAUAGGGAUAGUCGGGGGCAUCCGUAUUCAAUUGUCAGAGGUGAAAUUCUUGGAUUUAUUGAAGACGAACUACUG